UUAAUACUCACUCCGCCCCGAAUUACUUGUCACAGAAAUGGAUGUAUCUGCAUGUAUUUUUAGUUCUAGAUACAUCAAUUUCUAUCCAUUUGUGUGACAAGUAAUUUGGGACGGGGGAGUACCAG
rfam:Triticum aestivum genome assembly, contig: Triticum_aestivum_CS42_TGACv1_scaffold_130891_2BL